rnacentral:misc_RNA from 1 species
GAUGAAGAACGUAGCGAAAUGCGAUACGUAAUGUGAAUUGCAAAUUCAGUGAAUCAUCGAGUCUUUGAACGCACAUUGCGCCCCCUGGUAUUCCGGGGGGCAUGCCUGUCCGAGCGUCAUUGCUGCCCUCAAGCACGGCUUGUGUGUUGGGCCCCGUCCUCCGAUCCCGGGGGACGGGCCCGAAAGGCAGCGGCGGCACCGCGUCCGGUCCUCGAGCGUAUGGGGCUUUGUCACCCGCUCUGUAGGCCCGGCCGGCGCUUGCCGAUCAACCCAAAUUUUUAUCCAGGUUGACCUCGGAUCAGGUAGGGAUACCCGCUGAACUUAAGCAUAUCAACAAGCGGAGGA